rnacentral:snRNA from 1 species
GGAUGUGUGGGAAAUCUGGCUGUGACAUCUGUCAACCCACUAAUCACCAGGGUUGAUGUGGGUGUCCCCUUCCUCCCUCACUGCUGCAUGUGUAUCUCUCCUGAUGCUGCAGGCUCUGUUGAAGAGGACAACCUUUCCCAAAUAGAGGAGGACUGGUCUUCGGUAUACAAGUAGCUGAACUCCCCUGCUAGAACCUCCCAACAAGCUUUCCCAACCAUAAAAUACCAGGAUCAUUUUCAAGUUCCAAAUAGUGUCCUGGCUGACACAGGUGU